AUCAACGAGGACCCAUAGUGAGCCCCUCCAUCCCACGUACCCCCUCCUCUAUCCACCUGUGGGUGCUGCAGCCUGGACUUCUGCAUCAGCAGCUGUGUGGAGGUCUGUUACCCUGAGAUCUGCAGCCAGGGCAGGGGACUGUGCCCAGGAACAAGAGGUCAUGAUGGAGACUUGGGCCCCAGCAUCCCGCAGCAUUUGCAGCGCCUUCUUAUAUAG
rnacentral:lncRNA from 1 species